UCCCUGGUGGCUCAGAUGGUAAAGAAUCUGCCUGUAAUGCAGGAGAUCUGGGUUCAAUCCCUGGGUUGGGAA
rfam:Ovis aries breed Texel chromosome 2, whole genome shotgun sequence.